UUCAAACCCGUUUACUACUGAACCAUUUGCACUUUUGACCCACAACCUACUGACCCGAAUUAAACCCGUGACUUGUAAAUGAACCCGUUUAACCCAACAUAAUGAACAAAUAAAGAACAUGACCAAGUGACUUCACAUUAAGAAUCAUUUGAGAUACAUUGCCAAGCAAAGGCUCGUCACCUUUAAUGUCAAUGCUGCAACAUAGACAUAGGAAAAGCUUUAGAAAUGACUAACAGAUUAAAUUGGGUUCGGAUUAAAAUACACCAACUUUGGUAUAGUGAAAACAGACAAGGGUCGUUUAGGUGGACAAGGACACUUUUUUGGUUCCUUUUUUUAGAUUAAACACAACCCAAUGGGCCGAAACUUCCAACUCUACUCACCAUGAUAACAAUUUUCAAACACUUUGUUUCAAAUAAACUCAUGAAUCAGCCAAGCUCACAUACUUCCAACAAUUUUUUACAGCAAUGAAAACAAUCUACCAGAUCAUGGUUCAACACAAUUAUCAAAGAUCAUGGUUCAACACAAUUAUCAAACACUUUGUUUCAAAUAAACUCAUGAAUCAUCCAACCACACACACUUCAAAAAAAACAAAUGAAAAGCAAUAAACAUUACACAAAUAAACAAACUCAACACGCCUUUUCGAGAUACUACCAAAUCUCCAGAUUCACAAAGUUGGAAACAUAGACCGAAUGUUCACAAACUAAAUGUUGAUAUGCAAUAAAAAGCUAUCAAUUCAAAGCACUUUAAAUUAAAACUAAACCAGCAAUUAGCAAACUCCAGAUUAGGUAAACAAACAUAAAUAACACAACAACAAAUCAACAAUUAUCCUGACUACCUGUGAAGAAGAAGAAGUCAAAUCAAAACCGUCACAUUCGGGUAUCUCUGAUGGACUGUGGUAAUCAUCGGCGUCGUCAUUGCAGAUAAUCGUCGGUGGAAAACCCCAUCGCCAUUUAGGGUUUCUGGACUUGUUAGGCAUGAAGUGAGAAGGGAGAGAAGACAUGCAUACCCUUCAUCGCUUGGGUUGUGAUUGACGAAGUAGAUAAUGCUGCGAGUUUUCUAUUUGUGGGGGGAAGGAGUGUGGAGUGGUGUCCGGUGGCCGGAUUUGGGGGUGGCUGAGAUGGACGGUGGAAGGGUGACGGUGGGUUGGUGUGAGGGUUUGAAGAUGCAAAAGUGAUGAGUGAUGACGGUGUUUACCGCUGUAUUUAUGUUAUAUUAUCAUAGUAAUAAAAUUACUGUUCAUUAACUUCGUUUAUUAAUAUAUGUAUAGUGGUGUCCGGUGGCCGGAUUUGGGGGGUGGCUGAGAUGGACGGUGGAAGGGUGACGGUGGGUUGGUGUGAGGGUUUGAAGAUGCAAAAGUGAUGAGUGAUGACGGUGUUUACCGCUGUAUUUAUGUUAUAUUAUCAUAGUAAUAAAAUUACUGUUCAUUAACUUCGU
rnacentral:lncRNA from 1 species